rnacentral:rRNA from 1 species
UACGUAGGUGGCAAGCGUUGUCCGGAUUUACUGGGCGUAGAGAGCGCGCAGGCGGUCGUUCAAGUCGCGUGUGAAAGCCCCCGGCUCAACUGGGGAGGGUCACGCGAUACUGAUCGACUCGAAGGCAGGAGAGGGAAGUGGAAUUCCCGGUGUAGUGGUGAAAUGCGGUAGAUAUCGGGAGGAACACCAGUGGCGAAGGCGACUUCCUGGCCUGUUCUUGACGCUGAGGCGCGAAAGCUAGGGGAGCAAACAGGG